rnacentral:rRNA from 1 species
CCUACGGGAGGCAGCAGUGAGGAAUAUUGGUCAAUGGGCGCGAGCCUGAACCAGCCAAGUAGCGUGAAGGAUGACGGUCCUAUGGGUUGUAAACCUCUUUUAUAAAGGAAUAAAGUGCGGCACGUGUGCCUUUUUGUAUGUACUUUAUGAAUAAGGAUCGGCUAACUCCGUGCCAGCAGCCGCGGUAAUACGGAGGAUCCGAGCGUUAUCCGGAUUUAUUGGGUUUAAAGGGUGCGUAGGUGGGUUGUUAAGUCAGUUGUGAAAGUUUGUGGCUCAACCAUAAAAUUGCAAUUGAUACUGGCAGGCUUGAGUACGGUUGAGGUAGGCGGAAUGCGUGGUGUAGCGGUGAAAUGCUUAGAUAUCACGAAGAACUCCGAUUGCGAAGGCAGCUUACUAAGCUGCCACUGACGUUGAUGCUCGAAAGUGUGGGGAUCAAACAGGAUUAGAUACCCGAGUAGUC